UGGGAUAAAGAUUCCAUGAUGAGUAUAUUGCACUCAUCUUCCAUGGCUGUUUUCUUCCUCCAAGGAUGUCAAUUGUGCCAUGGAGAAGAGUGCAAUAAACUUGUUGUGGUAUCUAUCGACAAGA
rnacentral:pre_miRNA from 1 species